AGGGUUUGAUUCUGGCUCAGGAUGAACGCUAGCUACAGGCUUAACACAUGCAAGUCGAGGGGCAGCAUGGUCUUAGCUUGCUAAGGCCGAUGGCGACCGGCGCACGGGUGAGUAACACGUAUCCAACCUGCCGAUAACUCCGGAAUAGCCUUUCGAAAGAAAGAUUAAUACCGGAUAGUAUACGAAUAUCGCAUGAUAUUUUUAUUAAAGAAUUUCGGUUAUCGAUGGGGAUGCGUUCCAUUAGUUUGUUGGCGGGGUAACGGCCCACCAAGACUACGAUGGAUAGGGGUUCUGAGAGGAAGGUCCCCCACAUUGGAACUGAGACACGGUCCAA
rnacentral:rRNA from 1 species